AGGACGAACGCUGGCGGUGCGCCUAAUGCAUGCAAGUCGAACGGGCGAAGGGGCUUCGGCCCCCUAGCUAGUGGCAGACGGCUGAGUAACACGUAAGUAACCUACCUUGAAGAUUGGGGGAUAAACCAGGGAAACUUGGUCUAAUACCCCGUACGUUCUUCGCUUUAUCUGGGCGGAGAAGAAAGGCUUCGGCCGCUUCUUGACGGGCUUGCGGCCUAUCAUGGUAGUUGGUGGGGUAAUAGCCUACCAAGCCUAAGACGGGUAACCGGUGUGAGAGCACGAACGGUCAGAGGGGGACUGAGACACGGCCCCCACUCCUACGGGAGGCAGCAGCAGGGAAUCUUGCGCAAUGGGCGAAAGCCUGACGCAGCGACACCGCGUGGGGGAAGAAAGCUUUCGAGUUGUAAACCCCUUUUUCCGGGGAAGAGAACGGACUGUACCCGGAGAAUAAGGUUCGGCUAACUACGUGCCAGCAGCCGCGGUAAUACGUAGGAACCGAGCGUUGUCCGGAUUUACUGGGCGUAAAGUGCGCGUAGGCGGUUUGUUAAGUCUCAUGUGAAAUCUCCCGGCUCAACUGGGAGGGGUCAUGGGAAACUGGCAAGCUUGAGGGCAGCAGAGGAGAGUGGAAUUCCCGGAGUAGUGGUGAAAUGCGUAGAUACCGGGAGGAACACCAGAGGCGAAGGCGACUCUCUGGGCUGUACCUGACGCUGAGGCGCGAAAGCGUGGGGAGCAAACCGGAUUAGAUACCCGGGUAGUCCACGCCCUAAACGAUGGAUACUAGAUAUGGGGGGUAUCGACCCCUCCCGUGUCGCAGCUAACGCGAUAAGUAUCCCGCCUGAGGAGUACGGCCGCAAGGCUA
rnacentral:rRNA from 1 species